AGAGUUUGAUCCUGGCUCAGAAUGAACGCUGGCGGCGUGCUUAACACAUGCAAGUCGAGCGAGGCGGAAGGGGGCAACUCCUUCCAGUCGAGCGGCGGACGGGUGAGCAACACGUGGGUAACCUGCCCGGAAGUGGGGAAUACCUCGGAGAAAUUCGAGCUAAUACCGCAUGACAUCUUCGGGACGAAAGUCCUGGCGAUCAAAGCGGGGUCGCAAGAUCUCGCGCUACCGGAUGGGCCCGCGCCCGAUUAGCUAGUUGGUGAGGUAACGGCUCACCAAGGCUUCGAUCGGUAACCGGCCUGAGAGGGCGAUCGGUCACACCGGAACUGAGACACGGUCCGGACUCCUACGGGAGGCAGCAGUGGGGAAUCUUGCGCAAUGGGCGAAAGCCUGACGCAGCAACGCCGCGUGGAGGAUGAAGGCCCUUGGGUUGUAAACUCCUGUCGGCUGGGAAGAAAUCGAUCGUGGCUCAUACCCACGGUCGUUGACUGUACCAGCAAAGGAAGCCCCGGCUAACUCUGUGCCAGCAGCCGCGGUAAUACAGAGGGGGCUAGCGUUAUUCGGAAUUAUUGGGCGUAAAGGGCGCGUAGGCGGCCAUGCGUGUCUUCCGUGAAAUCCCUCGGCUUAACUGAGGACGUGCGGAAGAAACUGCAAGGCUCGAGUCCGGGAGAGGGGGGUGGAAUUCCCAGUGUAGCGGUGAAAUGCGUAGAUAUUGGGAGGAACACCGGUGGCGAAAGGCGGCCCCCUGGACCGGUACUGACGCUGAGGCGCGAAAGCGUGGGUAGCAAACGGGAUUAGAUACCCCUGUAGUCCACGCCGUAAACGAUGGGCACUUGGUGUCGCGGGUAUCGACCCCUGCGGUGCCGAAGCUA
rnacentral:rRNA from 1 species